CGUAGUUGGAUUUCUGCCGAGGACGACCGGUCCGCCCACUGGGUGUGCAUCUGGCUCGGCCUGGGCAUCUUCUUGGAGAACGUAUCUGCACUUCACUGUGUGGUGCGGUAUCCAGGACUUUUACUUUGAGGAAAUUAGAGUGUUUCAAGCAGGCACACGCCUUGAAUACGUUAGCAUGGAAUAAUAAGAUAGGACCUUGGUUCUAUUUUGUUGGUUUCUAGAACUGAGGUAAUGA
rnacentral:rRNA from 1 species